UUAAUAUUGAGAACCAGAAAAAGUUGAAGAAUCCUCACACUGCUGGAAAAAGAAGUUUUGCUUUAGUACGCUCUAAGUUGGAAAACGAGAAGGAAACUUCGGAUCCUUUAUCGGCAAAAGAAGUCUUUGUAGCUACAAGUAAAAGGAAAGUUGGGCGAUCAUACAAGUGCUCAGAUGAUGAUACAACUAGUAAAAUUGCUGAAAUGGUGGCAAUUGAAGCCCAACAAAA